GAUGAACGCUGGCGGCGUGCCUAAUACAUGUAAGUCGAGCGAACGGACGAGAAGCUUGCUUCUCUGAUGUUAGCGGCGGACGGGUGAGUAACACGUGGAUAACCUACCUAUAAGACUGGGAUAACUUCGGGAAACCGUAGCUAAUACCGGAUAAUAUUUUGAACCGCAUGGUUCAAAAGUGAAAGACGGUCUUGCUGUCACUUAUAGAUGGAUCCGCGCUGCAUUAGCUAGUUGGUAAGGUAACGGCUUACCAAGGCAACGAUGCAUAGCUGACCUGAGAGGGUGAUCGGCCACACUGGAACUGAGACACGGUCCAGACUCCUACGGGAGGCAGCAGUAGGGAAUCUUCCGCAAUGGGCGAAAGCCUGACGGAGCAACGCCGCGUGAGUGAUGAAGGUCUUCGGAUCGUAAAACUCUGUUAUUAGGGAAGAACAUAUGUGUAAGUAACUGUGCACAUCUUGACGGUACCUAAUCAGAAAGCCACGGCUAACUACGUG
rnacentral:rRNA from 1 species